GGGCCCGACCCGGCCCGAAUUAUAUAUUAAAUAUAUAUAUUUGUUAUUUUUAAAAUAUACUACUUUUUAACUUUUGUUUCACUUCCACCGAUCCAAAAUCCCUAAGCCCUAACUCAGAUCGUGCCCUCCUCUCUUUUUUCCUAAUUCCAAAAUUAAGCUUCAAAAUCCCUAAGCCCUAACUCACCACCUCCCCCAAUCCAC
rnacentral:lncRNA from 1 species